UGGAGGAAAGUUCUGAAUGUCAUGCUGCUGGGCUGGGAAUUACCACAGUGUGUCAAGGCAAGUGAGGCUGCUGGGCUGGGAAUUACAACAAUGUAUCAAGGCAAGUGAGAGCUGCGUGGGGACCCCUAACAAGAAGCCCUCACCUCCCCUGAUGGGCUUUCUUGGUGAAUGACAUCUGUUCUAUCACAUUUGUAAUUGCAGCUGCGAUAUAUCCAAGUGCGGAAAAUCAGGCUGCUGGAAGACAGCAAUUCCUGCUAUGAUAUCCACCACACAUUUGGACUGGGCCUGACCAGUGAAGAGCAAGAGGUCAGGCUUCCCAGAAACCAGGCAAAGAGGGAAAAUGGACACAUUUAUGUGGUCACCUUUUUGGUAGCAAAAAAGCAAAUCAGGACAUCAGGAGAGACAACAUCCUGAAGAGAAAUUUUCAGAAGGCCUUGGGAAGAAAAAUAUUCCAGGAGGUUCCCCGCUCCUAUCUUCACUCAUUCAUGAACUGGAUGCCACUUUCUCUCUCACUGCCUGUCAUAGAUAGGU